rnacentral:rRNA from 1 species
CGCGAGCUGGGUUCAGAACGAUGUAAAUCAGUUCGGUCUCUAUCCAGAGCAAGCGAAUAAGAUUUGAGGGGAGUCCUUGACAGUACGAGAGGACCUCGAGGAAGCAAUCCCUGGUGUGCCGGUUGUAAGUCCAAAAGACUGCAUCGCCGGGUAGCCACAUUGCGUCGGGAUAAGCGCUGAAAGCAUAUAAGCGCCAAGCCCACCCCAAGAUUAGAUCUUAUCUCCCGACCUAAAGUCGGGAAAUGGUUUCCUGAAAGAUGAUCAGGCCUCUUCGUAAGAAGAGUCCCGUCUGAUGAUGAGCGCAAGCGAGUCGGAAGGGCGGGAGAUAGACCGACGGUGUAAGCUUCGUAAGAAGUUUAGCCUAUCGGCACUAAUAAACCAUAAAAUAGCUUGGG